rnacentral:tRNA from 1 species
GGUGGGUUCAUCUAACGGUUAGGAUACAUGCCUCUCACGCAUGGUAUACGAGUUCGAUUCUCGUACCCACUACCA